rnacentral:misc_RNA from 1 species
UCCGAGUUAACCCCGGCAGUCUCCCGCGAGUCCCCACCAUGACGUGCUGGUAACUAACCACAGGGGUUGCGCUCGUUGCGCCACUUAAGGCAACACCUCACGGCACGAGCUGACGACAGCCAUGCAGCACCUUCCAUGGUGCCCCGAAGGGACAUCCCGUUUCCGGGACCAUCACCACAGAUUUAGCCCAGGUAAGGUUCUUCGCGUUGCAUCGAAUUAAUCCACAUGCUCCGCCGCUUGUGCGGGCCCCCGUCAAUUCCUUUGAGCUUUAGCCUUGCGGCCGUACUCCCCAGGCGGGGCGCUUAAUGCGUUAGCUACGGCACGGAUUCCGUGGAAGGAACCCACACCUAGCGCCCACCGUUUACGGCGUGGACUAC